GAUGAACGCUGGCGGCGUGCCUAAUACAUGCAAGUCGAGCGAACAGACGAGGAGCUUGCUCCUCUGACGUUAGCGGCGGACGGGUGAGUAACACGUGGAUAACCUACCUAUAAGACUGGGAUAACUUCGGGAAACCGGAGCUAAUACCGGAUAAUAUAUUGAACCGCAUGGUUCAAUAGUGAAAGACGGUUUUGCUGUCACUUAUAGAUGGAUCCGCGCCGCAUUAGCUAGUUGGUAAGGUAACGGCUUACCAAGGCAACGAUGCGUAGCCGACCUGAGAGGGUGAUCGGCCCCACUGGAACUGAGACCCGGUCCAGACUCCUGCGGGAGGCAGCAGUAGGGAAUCUUCCGCAAUGGGCGAAAGCCUGACGGAGCAACGCCGCGUGAGUGAUGAAGGUCUUCGGUUCGUAAAACUCUGUUAUUAGGGAAGAACAAAUGUGUAAGUAACUAUGCACGUCUUGACGGUACCUAAUCAGAAAGCCACGGCUAACUAC
rnacentral:rRNA from 1 species